CGAAGUUUAAUUACAGUGUUCUAAUAUAUUAUCUAUAAGCUUAAAAAGGGUCCAAGUGAAAGCUUAGGGUAAAACCAGUAUUAGAUUACAUCUUUGUUCUUAGAUUUUUUAUAUGGAGUUUGUUGAAUCAAACAGACAGGAUAUGGAUGAAUGGGUUGAUUUAAAAACCGAUGAUUCAUUCAGCAAAGCUACUUUUGAACAACACUUGAACCAAUUCAAGUCAAUUGUAAGGCAACAUGGUGCUGAGUUUGAAGCCAAAUUACAAGAAUUGGAGUUGAUUCCGAAUCCAGAUAUUCAAAAGUUAUUGAGUAAGAGUACGCUUCUGUUGAAGGUGAUCGAAAACGAGUUUAAACAGGUCGAGAUCGGAGAUGAUAGCGAACAAGUUUCGAUCACAAGUUGGAAGAUGGUGAUGAUGGCGAACAAGAACUACUAAUUAUUUUCCUAGAUCAAUCAAGUCUUUCAGAUAUAAGCGAGAUGUGGCCUUAUGAUGAACAAGCAAUGGUGCAGCAACUUCCACUGUUUCUUUUCCUAGAUCCGACAGGUCCUUCAAUGUGGUCGUACGCAGCCUCAUUCCUAACCAGGUUCCUCGACCCCUUUGGAUGCAACUGGAUCUCAGUACGUUUUCUUUUUUAGGCUAAAAAAAAUUACAACUGAAACGUUAGCAAACGCCAAGCUGUUUGGAAAGCAUUUUUCAGUGCGUUGAAAAUGCAUUUCAUCUCACCGGAGGCUGAAUUCCAGACUGGAGCCUUUUGCUCCAGGGAAAAUUUAGCAACUCCAGUUGCUUUUUCUUUUCCUCUUUUACCCAUAUAUUCUUCAGGCUUUUCUGUAUGUUUGGUUACCGUUGUUCUCUCCUUUCCCCUUCCCCUUUCCCUUGGGUUGCAAAUCAGUUUGGUCAAGGACCUCUUCCGGUUCCUCCUUCAUCCAGGUAAGGCUCCUUCUCCUUCUUUCGUUCUUCAUUCCUUUUUCUUCUUCCGUUCUUCAUCUUCUCUUCUCAGCAUAUUCUGUUUUGUUUCUUUUCUUUCUCUCUUUCUCAUGCAAAUCUACCAUGAAUUCUUCGCUGGGUCUUGCUUAAGAUGGAUUUCCAAGAGCAAUUCUUCAAGGAACGAAUCAAAUUUAUCCAUGAAGCGAGGGAUGAGAAGGAAGAGAGUUUUGAGAAGCUGCAACAGCAAGAGCGUGAGAAGGUCAAGCAGUCUAACCCCAAUCCUUCAAACGCAGAGGAAUACAGGCGCAGCAACCUUGAGAAAGAAAGAAGAGGCUUGAUUCUUGCCAGUUUUUUCCCUUGAUUUGGGUUAACACACAAGUAUGCUUUUUUUGUAUGACAAUUUUUUUUACAUGUUUGGAAACCAAAUAUUCAUUUGUUUGUAUACUAUAGCUUCAUCACACUUUGAUUGAUUCAAAUCUAAAUUUUUGUGAACAAAUAUUGUUGUACAAUAUUAGUUGCAUCUUCUAGUGUCUUUCCUUUUUGCAAUAUAUAACUGCAAUUGAGUAUAGAUUGAAAAUCGAGUCUAUAGUUGUAUACAUUUAUUUGAAGAAGCAAUUUGAUUGUCAAGAGUUGUUCUAAGUACUUAGGGGAAAUAUAAAUAAGAAAGAUAGGAGAGAUUAAUGGAGAUGUUAACUAUAGGAUUAAAGGUGGAGACUUGUGACAAAAGAGCCCUGCUUUGCUAUAGGACAGUUCUAAGAGACCUGCUUUGCUAUACGGUAGGGAAUGUUGGGGUAACAAGAAGCAAUAUAUACAAAACACUAGUCUAGCCGUGAGACAAAUGUUAAGAUAGAUGUAAGACUAAGGAUGUAGUUAGAUAUGAUGAAAUUCAUCUCAAAGUUGAGUAAGGUGAUAGAAAACCAUUUAUAUUGGUUUGACGAUAUAAGGCACGGAUCGACGGAUGCAUGUGAUUGAAAGAUCGAGUAAAUUGACAUUACACAAGAUCGAUUAUAGGUAAGAAGAUGGUGGUGGAUAAGAAUGACUGGAGUAGCAGGAUUCAUUUGUCAUGUACCUGACAUAAAAAGCUUUUUAUGCUUGAUUUUUUAUUUAAUGUCGUAGGUUUCCUAAAAAGCUGCAGUACGGUGACAUUCCAGAAGAUAUUGAACCUGAAGAAAUUCGACCUAUGGGAAACCAUGCUAUGUCAAUUACGUGGCCAGAUGGAUUUAGCCAGAUCGCUCCCUAUGAUCAGCUCCAGAUGAUAGAGCGUUUAGUCGAUGUUCCUCAACCGACAGCCGUCCAAUCAUGAUGAUAAGUUUCCUCCUUUCAUUUGUGGCCUAUUCAGAUCAAUACCAUGAUUCCACCGAACAAGGAAUAUCAUGCAUUUCUACUACAAAGCUUGUUGGAGUCAAAUGAAACUAAAGGGAGUUUAGGACAUUACUUGAAGCACAAUAACCUCAAUUUUAAGACCAGAGCUUCUAUGUAUUUAUAGGCAUAUGCAUGUAUGUAUUAGACUGAAAACUCUUUCAGAUGUAAUUUUUCUCAAGAACUCUACGCAAAGGUUCAAGAAGCUUCACUUUACAACAAAAA